rnacentral:rRNA from 1 species
AUUGAACGCUGGCGGCAGGCCUAACACAUGCAAGUCGAACGAGUGGCGGACGGGUGAGUAAUGUCUGGGAAACUGCCUGACGGAGGGGGAUAACUACUGGAAACGGUAGCUAAUACCGCAUACCAUCAGAUGUGCCCAGAUGGGAUUAGCUAGUAGGUGGGGUAACGGAUCACCAAGGCGACGAUCCCUAGCUGGUCUGAGAGGAUGACCAGCCAAACUGGAACUGAGAAACGGUCCAUGCUCGUACGUGAGGCAGCAGUGGGAAAUAUUGCAGAAUGGUCGCAAGCCUGAUGCAGCCAUGCCGCGUGUAUGAAGAAGGCCUUCGGGUUGGAAAGUACUUUCAGCGGAGAGGCGUUACCCGCAGAAGAAGCACCGGCUAACUCCGUGCCAGCAGCCGCGGUAAUAC